UAGAUUAAGUUAUUAAGGGCGCACGGUGGAUGCCUUGGCACUAGAAGCCGAUGAAGGACGUUACUAACGACGAUAUGCUUUGGGGAGCUGUAAGUAAGCUUUGAUCCAGAGAUUUCCGAAUGGGGAAACCCAGCAUGAGUUAUGUCAUGUUAUCGAUAUGUGAAUACAUAGCAUAUCAGAAGGCACACCCGGAGAACUGAAACAUCUUAGUACCCGGAGGAAGAGAAAGAAAAUUCGAUUCCCUUAGUAGCGGCGAGCGAAACGGGAAGAGCCCAAACCAACAAGCUUGCUUGUUGGGGUUGUAGGACACUCUAUACGGAGUUACAAAGGACGACAUUAGACGAAUCAUCUGGAAAGAUGAAUCAAAGAAGGUAAUAAUCCUGUAGUCGAAAAUGUUGUCUCUCUUGAGUGGAUCCUGAGUACGACGGAGCACGUGAAAUUCCGUCGGAAUCUGGGAGGACCAUCUCCUAAGGCUAAAUACUCUCUAGUGACCGAUAGUGAACCAGUACCGUGAGGGAAAGGUGAAAAGCACCCCGGAAGGGGAGUGAAAUAGAACCUGAAACCGUGUGCUUACAAGUAGUCAGAGCCCGUUAAUGGGUGAUGGCGUGCCUUUUGUAGAAUGAACCGGCGAGUUACGAUUUGAUGCAAGGUUAAGCAGUAAAUGUGGAGCCGUAGCGAAAGCGAGUCUGAAUAGGGCGUUUAGUAUUUGGUCGUAGACCCGAAACCAGGUGAUCUACCCUUGGUCAGGUUGAAGUUCAGGUAACACUGAAUGGAGGACCGAACCGACUUACGUUGAAAAGUGAGCGGAUGAACUGAGGGUAGCGGAGAAAUUCCAAUCGAACCUGGAGAUAGCUGGUUCUCUCCGAAAUAGCUUUAGGGCUAGCCUCAAGUGAUGAUUAUUGGAGGUAGAGCACUGUUUGGACGAGGGGCCCCUCUCGGGUUACCGAAUUCAGACAAACUCCGAAUGCCAAUUAAUUUAACUUGGGAGUCAGAACAUGGGUGAUAAGGUCCGUGUUCGAAAGGGAAACAGCCCAGACCACCAGCUAAGGUCCCAAAAUAUAUGUUAAGUGGAAAAGGAUGUGGCGUUGCCCAGACAACUAGGAUGUUGGCUUAGAAGCAGCCAUCAUUUAAAGAGUGCGUAAUAGCUCACUAGUCGAGUGACACUGCGCCGAAAAUGUACCGGGGCUAAACAUAUUACCGAAGCUGUGGAUUGUCCUUUGGACAAUGGUAGGAGAGCGUUCUAAGGGCGUUGAAGCAUGAUCGUAAGGACAUGUGGAGCGCUUAGAAGUGAGAAUGCCGGUGUGAGUAGCGAAAGACGGGUGAGAAUCCCGUCCACCGAUUGACUAAGGUUUCCAGAGGAAGGCUCGUCCGCUCUGGGUUAGUCGGGUCCUAAGCUGAGGCCGACAGGCGUAGGCGAUGGAUAACAGGUUGAUAUUCCUGUACCACCUAUAAUCGUUUUAAUCGAUGGGGGGACGCAGUAGGAUAGGCGAAGCGUGCGAUUGGAUUGCACGUCUAAGCAGUAAGGCUGAGUAUUAGGCAAAUCCGGUACUCGUUAAGGCUGAGCUGUGAUGGGGAGAAGACAUUGUGUCUUCGAGUCGUUGAUUUCACACUGCCGAGAAAAGCCUCUAGAUAGAAAAUAGGUGCCCGUACCGCAAACCGACACAGGUAGUCAAGAUGAGAAUUCUAAGGUGAGCGAGCGAACUCUCGUUAAGGAACUCGGCAAAAUGACCCCGUAACUUCGGGAGAAGGGGUGCUCUUUAGGGUUAACGCCCAGAAGAGCCGCAGUGAAUAGGCCCAAGCGACUGUUUAUCAAAAACACAGGUCUCUGCUAAACCGUAAGGUGAUGUAUAGGGGCUGACGCCUGCCCGGUGCUGGAAGGUUAAGAGGAGUGGUUAGCUUCUGCGAAGCUACGAAUCGAAGCCCCAGUAAACGGCGGCCGUAACUAUAACGGUCCUAAGGUAGCGAAAUUCCUUGUCGGGUAAGUUCCGACCCGCACGAAAGGCGUAACGAUUUGGGCACUGUCUCAACGAGAGACUCGGUGAAAUCAUAGUACCUGUGAAGAUGCAGGUUACCCGCGACAGGACGGAAAGACCCCGUGGAGCUUUACUGUAGCCUGAUAUUGAAAUUCGGCACAGCUUGUACAGGAUAGGUAGGAGCCUUUGAAACGUGAGCGCUAGCUUACGUGGAGGCGCUGGUGGGAUACUACCCUAGCUGUGUUGGCUUUCUAACCCGCACCACUUAUCGUGGUGGGAGACAGUGUCAGGCGGGCAGUUUGACUGGGGCGGUCGCCUCCUAAAAGGUAACGGAGGCGCUCAAAGGUUCCCUCAGAAUGGUUGGAAAUCAUUCAUAGAGUGUAAAGGCAUAAGGGAGCUUGAC
rnacentral:rRNA from 1 species